AAUAGAUACCCCGGUAGUCCACGCCGUAAACGAUGAGUGCUAAGUGUUGGGGGGCUUCCGCCCCUCAGUGCUGCAGCUAACGCAUUAAGCACUCCGCCUGGGGAGUACGGCCGCAAGGCUGAAACUCAAAGGAAUUGACGGGGGCCCGCACAAGCGGUGGAGCAUGUGGUUUAAUUCGAAGCAACGCGAAGAACCUUACCAGGUCUUGACAUCCCGCUGCCCGGUAUAGAGAUAUAUCUUUCCCUUCGGGGACAGCGGUGACAGGUGGUGCAUGGUUGUCGUCAGCUCGUGUCGUGAGAUGUUGGGUUAAGUCCCGCAACGAGCGCAACCCUUGAUCUUAGUUGCCAGCAUUUAGUUGGGCACUCUAAGGUGACUGCCGGUGACAAACCGGAGGAAGGUGGGGAUGACGUCAAAUCAUCAUGCCCCUUAUGACCUGGGCUACACACGUGCUACAAUGGAUGGUACAAAGGGCUGCAAGACCGCGAGGUUUAGCCAAUCCCAUAAAACCAUUCUCAGUUCGGAUUGCAGG
rnacentral:rRNA from 1 species